GAUGAACGCUGGCGGCGUGCCUAAUACAUGCAAGUCGAGCGAACAGACGAGGAGCUUGCUCCUCUGACGUUAGCGGCGGACGGGUGAGUAACACGUGGAUAACCUACCUAUAAGACUGGGAUAACUUCGGGAAACCGGAGCUAAUACCGGAUAAUAUAUUGAACCGCAUGGUUCAAUAGUGAAAGACGGUUUUGCUGUCACUUAUAGAUGGAUCCGCGCCGCAUUAGCUAGUUGGUAAGGUAACGGCUUAUCAAGGCAACGAUGCGUAGCCGACCUGAGAGAGUGAUCGGCCACACUGGAACGUAGACACGGUCCAUACUCCUACGGGAGGCAGCAGUAGGGAAUCUUCCGCAAUGGUCGAAAGCCUGACGGAGCAACGCCGCGUGAGUUAUGAAGGUCUUCGGAUCGUAAAACUCUGUUAUUAGGGAAGAACAAAUGUGUAAGUAACUAUGCACGUCUUGACGGUACCUAAUCAGAAAGCCACGGCUAACUACGUG
rnacentral:rRNA from 1 species